rnacentral:rRNA from 1 species
AUUGAACGCUGGCGGCAUGCCUUACACAUGCAAGUCGAACGGUAACGGGCCUUCGGGUGCCGACGAGUGGCGAACGGGUGAGUAAUGUAUCGGAACGUACCUUUCAGUGGGGGAUAACGUAGCGAAAGUUACGCUAAUACCGCAUAUUCUGUGAGCAGGAAAGCAGGGGAUCGCAAGACCUUGCGCUGAUUGAGCGGCCGAUAUCAGAUUAGCUAGUUGGUGAGGUAAAGGCUCACCAAGGCGACGAUCUGUAGCGGGUCGUGAGAGGAUGAUCCGCCACACUGGAACUGAGACACGGUCCAGACUCCUACGGGAGGCAGCAGUGGGGAAUUUUGGACAAUGGGGGCGAACCCUGAUCCAGCCAUGCCGCGUGAGUGAAGAAGGCCUCGGUUG